GAAAGCUUUUGGAUGCUGCAUAAGUCACAUCUACUAUAUCAAAUGGACACAGCUCAAUUCCUAGACUGUAAGAUCCAAAAGGCUCGUUGGGAUAAUUUAGUUUGCUUUCUGCACACAUGCGGUCAGAAAUAUUUUCCAGAGAAGCACAGAAUUACAGGAAGAAGUGGAUUUGGAGCAGAGAGUGCUUGUGGUUGUAGAAGGUGUUGAGAGCUGUUGUAAGCACUCUCGAAGUUUAACCAGGAUGAACCGCCUCAGUGUCACAGUUUCUUUUCAUAAGACAAGUGCUCCAGACCCCUGAGCAUCCUGCAGACCUUCUGCUGAACUCCAAAACUGAUGCGGUACUCUGGAUCCAGCCUACUGAGUGCUGAGAUGAGGGGAAUAAUCAUGCCUGUCAGCCUACUGGCUGUACUUCUGUUUAUAUAGCCUAGGCUGUUUUCGACCUUUCUGCUGGCAGAGCUCAGUUCACUGCCCAUCAGGACCCUGAGAACCUUUUCUGCAGGGCUUCCCCCUAGUCAGUGUUCACCAAGCCUGGAUUGCUGUGAUAGCUGAGUAUGUUUUUACAUAAUUAGUUACCCUCUUGUGCCUUUAAGAUGGCAGUGUAUGGGGAAAGUUAUUCUUUUUUACUUUUUUUUUUUUUUUUCCUAGAAUAGCUAAUCUUAGAUUUGGCCUCUUCGUUUUUGAUUUUUUUUUUUCAUAUUCACCGACUUUGGACUAACCCCAAAAUAAAUAAAACAAUAUUCUAAAUAUUGAAGCCACUGAUGCCUUUUUUGGUUGGUUUUCUCAGAGUGUCACAUGCUCAAGUCCUCUUUAAAAGGAAACUCUGAGGGGCCCUCAAGUUUGUGUCAUUAUCUUGAGGUAUUUUCACUUGGGACUCUUGGCUUGAGAAACGCUGCACUGUGUGCGAACAGUUUAUAGGAAUAUGAAAACUCAAAUCCAUCAAUUAAAUAAUGAGAACUGAAAGUACCAGGUGAGGAUUGCUGCAGUGCUCUGGAUAGAAAGGAUGUGAUCUGGAAGAACUCAGUUCCUGUUGGUACUUUUCUUGCCUUUUGGGAACUGCUGUGUGUGUGGCUUACUACAAUUAGCCUUCUUUUUUUUGGAGAGGAAAUAGGGCUUUUAUAUUCAAAACUAUAGCCUGGCAGGGGGAACUGGCCUUCCUUUGGUGUUAACUGCUGUCUGCAAUGCUGGUGCUGCUGGAAGACUUUUUUGGGAGGGUCGAAGCACCUUUCCAUGUAAAUCAGUUUGGAGCAGACAAGUGCACCCUCCAUAUGCAGUCAAUUACUUGCAUUUAUUUAAGGUGAAUCUGAGCUAUUUAUAGAUAUCUUGCAAACUGAUGGCUCAAAAAUGCAAGAAAAAAGCCAGCUUGUGGGUUGACUUGCUUGUUUACUUCAAAGCAAGCAGCUAUAU